UUGUGUACAAAAUACGAACUUGUGGACUAAUUUAGCUAGAUAAAAAUUUGUCUUGUGUGUAAAGCUUCGUUUUUAUGUUUAAUUACCUACGUAAAACAUUUAAGAUGGCUUUUAUGUAUGCAUUAGUUUUAUUUUUAAAUGAUUCAUCCAAUAAAGAAAUUGAUAUAUUGAAUAUCGUGGUACCGGAUGUAAAUAGCCCGAAUCAUUGUUAAAAAGUACUAAGUAUUGUAAAUUAUUACAAAUGAUAGUUAAACAUUGUGAAGGGUCUGCCCGACAUGGCCAACGUUUUAUGUUCAAAUAAGUGGCACAGCAGAAACAAUGGAAGAGGCAGAGGUAAAAUUAAUAAGAUUAAAAAGAACCCCUAUUCUUCUCUACCAAUAAUGAGUAGUCUGCUAAAGCAAAGGAUUGAUUAAAAAUAGAUAAUAUAUUUAGCUAAAUAGCUUUAGAGUUAACUGACGAACCCACUGAAAUUGCAGAACCUAAGAAAUAAAAGCCAAAAAAAUUUAACCAAAAAAUUGUGAAGAAACAAGCCUAAAAACAUAGUCUCGAAUGGUCAUCUACAUCAAUAGCGUCUUCGAUAUCUUCAUCACCACCGUCAUCGUUAUGUAAACCUAUGAAAAUAAAUAAUGAAACUAAAAAAACGAAUUAAUGACAGUACUAACUACAUAGUUGGCUCAAAAAAAAGGAAAAAAUUAGUUCAUAAUCUACACCAUACCACCUUGGUCAUCUUCAUCAUCACCAUCAAAUAAACGUAGAAAAAUAAGAAAAAUCAACUCGAAUUUGAAGGACAUAAAUAUGCGUAUUUAAAUAGCACAUGAAGACAGUACAUUAGCAACAAUUGCUGAUAAUCCCUUUUCAUCAUCAUCAUAAAUCUGAAACAGAAGCUGAAAUGAAUAUAUUAGCAGCUAGAUCAUCAUCAACAAAAAAUACUGUAUCCAGUGAUUCUUUGCUGGAAUGUAUCAAACAUAAUUAUAACAGUCUAUCAAAACAAUUAGCGAAUUUAAAAGGCCAUAUCUGCUGACGUUACCAAAUCCUAUCUGAAAUAAAAAAAUAACAGUACUCAGCUGUUAGAUUUCAGUUUAUUAACAGAUCCUGAAGGAAAUCCAGUGGUCCAAAAAUUAGAAUUUCCGCUAUCAACAAUGGAAGAUAUUAUUUUGAUAAAUUCAAUGAAAAAUUAAAAGGCGAAAAAUAUAAAAAUAAAAUGAAUAAACGUAUAUACUUUUCUCUUGAUGGAAAAAAUACUUUUACCCGUAAUAUGGGAAAUAUUACUCGUGUUUAUAUAACAAGAGAUGUCAUAUGUAGCAGUUAAAGCAACUUCAAAAAAAAGUUUUCAAAGAUACGACUUUUUCACUUCUAUAAAAACUGCAGUAAGACAUUACAGAAUUCGAAAAUAAUCAAGAAAGUAUUUUCGAUAAUAAAUUCCAUCAAGCAUUGUCUGCAGUAUUGAAUAAUGCUAAUAUAAUAA